GGGCCGUUAGCUCAAUUGGUAGAGCAUCUGACUCUUAAUCAGCAGGUCCGGGGUUCGACUCCCCGACGGCCCACCA
rnacentral:tRNA from 3 species